rnacentral:rRNA from 1 species
CCUGAUGCAGCCAUGCCGCGUGUAUGAAGAAGGCCUUCGGGUUGUAAAGUACUUUCAGCGGGGAGGAAGGUGUUGAGGUUAAUAACCUCGGCAAUUGACGUUACCCGCAGAAGAAGCACCGGCUAACUCCGUGCCAGCAGCCGCGGUAAUCA